GUCUACAGCCAUACCACCCUGAACACGUCCAAUCUUAUCUGAUCUCAGAAGCUAAGCAGGGUUGAGUCUGGUUAGUACUCGGAUGGGAGAAACCUAGUACCUGUUGGCA
rnacentral:rRNA from 1 species